ACAAUGCUUCAUAAUAAAGACUAUUACAGCGCUCAACCGAAAGUAAAAGAAGAGUACUUCACGCCAAGAGCGGAAGCGAUUUCCUAAAACGGCAAGAAUAUGAGCUAAUGCUACUGUAUUAUAUAUCGGAGGAGUUUGCAAAAAUCGAAACCAGAUUUAAUGAAUACAUCAAAAAGAUAAAUAUUAAUGAGGUCAACGAGCAGGAAUUAAAGGAGGUAAAAGACGAGACAAAUUAUCAGGACGAUGAACGAAUAAACCACAACUUCACAUAUCGUACUUGAACCGCUCAGCUCAAAAUAAUUGAUGAACUUUGGAUGACUACUUAAGACUAAUCUUGCAUCCUCUUCCGGAUUAUUUGUCGAUUACUUGAAUGCGAUUCAUGGGUAAUCUAUCAGCAUUCCAAGACAAAGAGGAGAUCAAAAUACAAAAUGAUUGUGUGAUGGAAUAGCUGGGAGUCACGGACAAUGUGCGAUUGAUAGCAGGAACAAAUGAGCUUGGAAAAAAACCGCUAUGUGAUUGACGGUCUCCUCAGUUUCAUUGAUUGCAAUUUGCUGAUGCAGCACGCUCAGAAUGUUGAAACAUAUCUACGAUAGAGCACGAUAGUGUUACGUUCAGUCUUAAAGAAAAAAUGAUUAAGGAAAAGUUGGAAUAUAAGGAAUAUAAGGAAGACAGGGAAAGACGGAACAGAAUCCUUAAACUCGUGGUCGUACUAGAAUUAGACGGAUGUACGACACGAGGGCGAAUGCACUUUGAUGGGAGAAAACGAGACGUAACUGACGCGACGUGACCUGACGUGACGUUGGGUAAGGCAGAGAAAAGCCGUAAGACUUGUUGUGUUGAAUGUAUGAUGAUCUAUUAAGUGCGCGGAGAGACGAGAGAAAAGUGAGCUCAAGAGCCACGCAGGAUGUCGGGUGCAAAUAAAUAGCAAAAAACUCCAAUGUCGGGCAAACGUUUCGACCUUUAAUGACGGUCUUCCAAAAAAUUCCACUAUUUUGAUGCAGAAUAAUAUUGCAUUAGAAUAACUCGCUACAUGCAGCGAGCAACUACAUCAACUACAAUUUACUCAUUAAGCUGUACAGUUGCAUUCUUUUUCGGUCUUCUAAUCUUAUUUAAAUAUUUAGUUAUUUUGAAAGUGAUACAAGAACAAAAAUGUCAGAUCAUUCUCAAUAUUGCCAAAUUCUUGAUGAUUUACUUGAAACCAGCACAGAUGAUUGCGAUCAGGCAGGAUAAUUGCGAUCCUGUAUUUAUUAAUGUUGAAGAAAAGCAAGGCGAUGAACUUCUAAUCGAACUAUACUGAGAGCGAAUAUUUCUCUAUGAUAAAAGUGACGCCAAUUAUAAAAACUCUUUGAUGAAAGAAAAUGCUAUAGAUAGAAAUAUCCAAAAUAAUGACUGAAACUGAUUGUGGUAAUAAAUUAUACUUAUAAUUGUGACAUGUAUACUCCAUCCUAUUGUCGAAAAAGAUGCAUCUCAUUAAGGGACCAAUGUAACAGAGAGAAAAGAAAGCUAGAAAUUCAAUCUAAAAGUGAAAGUGGUAAGCUACACAAAUUGCACAAUAUCUGAACCAGUAAUUAAUGAAGAUGAUGACUUGUUACAAAGUGUUGCAAGUUCAUUAAACAGCGUAAAUAAAAGUGUAAACAAGCAGCAUAUUGAUAACAAAAAAUAUUUUAAUAAAGAAAACGUUGCACUGAAAAAGUUGCACUGAAACACAAAAGGUGGAAAGUCGACGAAUCAAACGAGUUAGAGCAAUCAUUAGCUCAAAUGACCCAAAGAAUUUCAUCAUAUAUGGAAAACAAGUCUUUAACGGCAGAUAACGCUUUCAUGGAAUUUAUAAAAAUAUCAAUCUCACGCCAUGCUGUUUUACACAAUCCUACUGAUAUCCAGCUCCAUAGUUUUUGUGACGCAUCCCAGACUCCUUAUGGGGCCUGCGUUUAUGUCCGUUCUACCAAUAAGACUGGAAUAAUCAAGGUUCAAUUGCUGGCAGCAAAAUCACGAGUGGCACCCUUGAAGAUUAGUCUGCUACGGCUUGAACUAUGCAAAGCAAUACUUCUUGUUACUCUACGCGACAAGAUAUCUCCAGUUUUUAGCUGCACAAUUUCAAAACGCUAUUUGCUGAACAGACUCUGAGAUUGUGCUAGCAUGGAUUCAAG
rnacentral:lncRNA from 13 species